rnacentral:rRNA from 1 species
GGAUUAGAUACCCUGGUAGUCCACGCCGUAAACGAUGUCAACUAGCUGUCUGUGGACUUGAUCCGUGGGUAGCGCAGCUAACGCACUAAGUUGACCGCCUGGGGAGUACGGCCGCAAGGUUAAAACUCAAAUGAAUUGACGGGGGCCCGCACAAGCGGUGGAGCAUGUGGUUUAAUUCGAUGCAACGCGAAGAACCUUACCAUCCCUUGACAUCCAGAGAACUUUCUAGAGAUAGAUUGGUGCCUUCGGGAACUCUGAGACAGGUGCUGCAUGGCUGUCGUCAGCUCGUGCCG